AUUGAACGCUGGCGGCAUGCCUUACACAUGCAAGUCGAACGGUAACGGGCCUUCGGGUGCCGACGAGUGGCGAACGGGUGAGUAAUACAUCGGAACGUGCCCGAUCGUGGGGGAUAACGAGGCGAAAGCUUUGCUAAUACCGCAUACGAUCUACGGAUGAAAGCAGGGGACCGCAAGGCCUUGCGCGGACGGAGCGGCCGAUGGCAGAUUAGGUAGUUGGUGGGAUAAAAGCUUACCAAGCCGACGAUCUGUAGCUGGUCUGAGAGGAUGAUCAGCCACACUGGGACUGAGACACGGCCCAGACUCCUACGGGAGGCAGCGGUGGGGAAUUUUGGACAAUGGGCGCAAGCCUGAUCCAGCCAUGCCGCGUGCAGGAUGAAGGCCUUCGGGUUGUAAACUGCUUUUGUACGGAACGAAAAGCCUUCUUUUAAUACAGGAGGGUCAUGACGGUACCGUAAGAAUAAGCACCGGCUAACUACGUG
rnacentral:rRNA from 1 species